ACAGGCUGUUUUAAGUUACAAGUAGAUUUCCCUGCAAAAAAAGCUACCAAAGGUGCCACAGCUGGAGUUCCUUCCUGCUCCUGCUUAGACCAGCAAUAAUAUAUAUUACAACUUGUAGCCCUGAAAUUACCCUCUUGGGAUGAAUUCAUAGCACCAUGAGUCCUUUAUUGAGAGGAUAUAAUUAACGAUGUUUUCAUUCUCCCUCCCUUCUUCCCGGCAAAUCUGGACUCAGGCCUUUACAUCUUUGCCUUGGUAUCCUCCAGCUCUUGCGAAAACAAUGUGAGUUUUGGCCUUAAUAACAAGCCAUGCAAAAUCUACAUAAUUGACCCCUUUUCUGAAAAUAUUUCAAAGCUUUCUCUUUAAUCUUUGAAUAUGCAUGUACGGAAGGAAUGCCCUCGUUUCAGCAGACCCCUGUUGCAUACAGCAGCCUUCUUGCUGCCGUGGAGAAAGAACAACUAGGGAGUUGUAAGAAAUGUUUUUUCUUUCCUCCCAGAUGCCCUACUUUUCCGUUCUAUGUGAUUUUAUGCAAAGAAGCUCAACCUCCUUAUUUUUGUGCAAGGCAUCUGUGGCAUUACUGCACAUCUUAUAAUCCACAUAUCUGCGGGAUAUCAGGGUCACUGGGUCCCAAGUGGAGAUCCAUGGGCCACUGCUGAUCUCUGGGGCUUGGGUGAGUGGUCUGAAGUUAUUUUACAGCACCACCGAGGGCAGAAACAUUUCUAUGACUGUCUGCCAGGACAGAAGGGUACCCCAAGCAAGUCUUAAAGCUACCUGUCAAACAAGCUGACUGUGUUAUGAGCUUCUUUUUUUUCUGCAGCCAAAUGCAGAGUUACACCUGUGGUGAGAUCUGGUCUCCGUGUGUUAGCCAAGCUUUCCCUGCUCUGGUUCUCAGGUGGGUUGCUGAGAGCUGCCUGAUCACAGGCUGCAGGUUACCCCCAUGUUUUAUGCCAGUUGAUAUUAUUUAAAGAGAUAUACAAACAUGACCUCCAUGUCCCUUUUCUGGGAAUGGUGUCACCAUGGGAAUCUUGUAAAACUGUUCAUGGGAACUGAUCACAUGUGUCAUUGUGAAUAAAAGAGAGAAGACUGUAAAUGGGAAGGAGUAGGUGUGUUGAAGAAAUUUUGGGAGAGGGCAUUCAGACCACUCUAUUCAGAUAUGAUUCAUGCCAAAAAAACAGACCCUGAGGAUUUCUGGGGAUCCAUCCAUAAGCCAUAGAUCUACAGGGGACUCUGUCAACUAUGGGUGGAAAAUAACAGUCCUAUGUUUUCACUGUAUCUUUCCCAGUUUCUCACAGCUAUGCUUCACCAAAACCUUUUUUCUCUUUCCCUUUGACAAAUCUGUAUCAUUCAGAUGUCAGCCUCUUCUCAAGCACUGGACCAUGGCUCUCUCACCACUGACUUACACUGCUCUGCCCAUCGUCCUCCUUCUUCUAUCAAUCCAUUUAAACACUCUAUUCUUCAUUCAUUUGUGGAGCCCUGUAGUUCUUGUGCCUUCAUCUGCCAAUGGGACUGAGAAAAAGGAUGCUGGAAACAGACUGUGCUUUCAUAUCUGUGACCGAAACCUGUCGUUCUCAGUUCCAGAAAGGGACUUCCACUUCUCCAUCCUUUGGAACCUGUUAGUCCUUCCACUUGUUAAGAGAUGGCCUCUCCAAGUCAAUAUUACUCACGUGUUCAAAAUCAAUAUUGCUUAUUACAGCUUCUGCAA